rnacentral:lncRNA from 1 species
AUAUAUAUAUAUAUAUAUAUAUUUGGCUGGGUGCUAUCUAUAGCACUAAAGAUUUAGUGCUAUUGAAUUUUUCACCGUUAGAAUAUUUAAUUCUAUGAUUAUUUUUACCCAUUAGAUUAUAUUAUUCAACAAACCACUCACUCAAUCUUAGGGGGCCACAUCAUCCUAACCACUCAUUUCUCAAUCCAAGGGUUAAAAAAUCAAUAGUACAAAUAGCUUGGUGAUAUUGAUAGUAUUUCAGCCUAGUUCUAUAUAUAGAGUCUGGCUGGGGUACUAUCGAUAGUACUAAGAAUUUGGCGCUAUCGAGUUUUUUACCGUUGAUUUAAUUCUAUGAUUAUUUUUAUCCGACAUAUUAUACUAUUCAAUAAAUCACUCACUAAACUCUAGAAGGUCCAUAUCAUUCUAACCAUCCAUUUCUAUAUGUAGAAAAUAUGUUUUA